UUUCCUCCAGUUUAUCAUGUGACAUAGCAGGUCGCCAAGGCGUUUGAGCAGCAAGUCAGUAUUAGCAGUCAAGCAAGCAAGGGAGGAUUUAGAGAAAUUGCUAACGUUUAAAAGGAGGGGAAAGAACAGACAUGCCCCCACCCGCCUGGCCAGAUUGGAAGCAUUGCAAACAAUCCUUUCUGCUUGUUUCCAGGACUAAUUCAAGAAGAUGCAGAUUUUGACAGUCAAAGCCUGGAACAGCCUGGAUCUCAAGGAGAACUUUUCUCUCCUAUAAUCUCACUGGGCCUUUAGGAUCUACAAGUGAGACCCCAAUCUAAGUUCCUUCCUUUAGCAAGGGCUGCCCUAUUGCUUCGUUUCCAACCACUGCCCCUCCCAUCACUUCCAGCUGACAUCCUGUCACUUUUUAUAAGACCAUCUUUCUCCAUAUGAACCUCCCCGGACACUGAGAUCAACCUCUGAGGCCCUUCUUCAUGUGCCUCCUCCAUGAGAGGUCUAGAGGGUCGCAACACGAGAACGAGCCUUUUCUGCAGUGGCUUCCCAUUUGAGGAAUGCUCUCCCCAGGGAAGCUCACAUGGCCUCUUCAUUAUACACCUUAAGGGCCAUCGGACAGAAAUGCCUUUCUGUGCUUUAUAAGGUGCCGACCGAAGACCGAGUUGAAGGCCACCACGUGACAUCGCCUCUCUCUGCUGACUGCCCAUCGGAUGUUAUUUGCAUGCUAGCAUCAUAUUCCAGUAAGGGUAUGAAAUAAGUUACACCCAAGACGUUUGCUCUUGGGACGCCCCAUCGGAGAUGCUCGCUUAUGAGUAACUGGCCUUUUAAGGCCGGAGACCUCCCCUGUUGUGUUGAAGCUCUGUCCCGUUUGGCCUUGGGUGGCUCUAAGGUUUGAGCAGAUCUGCAGCCCUGUCUUUUAAACUUCUCUAAUCCAAUCCUUCCGGGAGCUGCAACUUAUUGCCUAAACCAGAGUUGACCUACUCAGAAACGCAUAGCUCAGGGCUGACUCACACAGGCCGCUCUGAGUGAGCUGUCACUCAAGGGCCUUUGCACCGCGUAAUGCUUCUCAUAUGGCCGGAGACAAAAAUCCCUGGUCCUCAGCCUGAGAUUCCCUUCAGAUCAAUAGUCCUGAGCUCUGCGGGCCGCAUUCCUUCCUGGGAAAGCAUUCAGGAGUCUCAUGCCAGCAAUGAGUGGGGUCUGGGGCAAAACAGUGAAAGCACAUGCUACCUUUGAACAAAUGGGCUAGUUUCCACACUCGUGCACGAACCCUCUCUGUCCUUUGGCCAAGCGAGCAAUAGGUACUAUCACAGUUCAGAGACUGGUGUGAUGUUCAGAGCAGUGUUCCUCAAACUUGGGUCCCUGGCUGCUAUUGGACUACAACUCCCAUCAUCCCCUGGCCACUGGCCCUGCUAGCUAGGGAUGAUGGGAGUUGUAGUCCAACCAUAGCUGGAGACCCAAGUUUGAAGAACAGUGGUUGAAAGUGUCAGACUAGGACUCCGGGAGACCAGGAUUCAAAUCCCCACUUGGCCAUGAGACUCACCUUGACCCAGUCACUGCUUCUCGGCCUUACAGACUUGCUGCUUGGAUUAAAUGAGGAGAGGGAGAAUCCUUUACCCCCAGCAUCAACUCCUCGGAGGGAUAGGUGGAGUAUUGAUGUGAGAAAUAAAUAAAUACAUUUCCCAAAAAAACUAAACCAACCAGAAGGAGGGUGUGACACAAGGUUUGUAAGGGGUGUGGCAUGGGAAGAGGGCAUGUGACUCGGGAGUGGGUGUGGUCUGGGGAGGUGUCACCACCGGAAAAAGCUGCCCCCUUUUACACGAGGCUUGAGUUGCGCUUGGAGCAGGGGGGUUGCAGAAGAAAAGGGGAGAGGUCGGAACUCCAUGUGGCGCUGGCUAGAGCAGGCAUAGGCAAACUCAGCCCUCCAGAUGUUUUGGGACUACAAUUCCCAU